UUGGUUUUUCGAGACAGGGUUUCUCUGUGCAGCUUUGCGCCUUUUCCUGGAACUCACUUGGUAGCCCAGGCUGGCCUCGAACUCACAGAGAUCUGCCUGGCUCUGCCUCCCAAGUGCUGGGAUUAAAGGUGUGCGCCACCACCGCCCGGCUCGGAAGUUUAUGUUCUUAAAUUUAACUUUUCUUUGAUUCUUUGUGGAUUUCACAUCAUACAUUUCAAUCCCACUCAUCUCCCUGUUCCUUCCCAUCUUCCCUCUGCCCUUGCAACCUCCCUCACAAGAUAAAAAAAAAAUUCAAAAGAAAAGAAAAAAAGGAAAAUCUCGUUGUAGAAAGUGCAGUGUGACGCAGUGAGUCAUACAGUAUACCCUUUAGUUCAUACAUCUUUACUUGCAAAUGUUCAUUGCAAUGAGUCAUUGGUCUGGUUCAAGGCUUCUGGCUUCUGCCACACUAGCAAUACUGGGCCCUCACUGGGACUCCUCCUGGAUAUCCGGUUGUUAUCCUGUGUCAUGGAGAUCCUGCAGUUUUGGGUCUGCAGAACUGACCCCUUCAUCUGCUCCAGCAGAUCAUAGAUGGGGUGGAUGUUGGGAUGGGCCAACUCAAAGCCUUGGUUCUGGGCCUGGGUGGUUGCUGGGUUGGUCAGUGCACCAGCUCUCCCUUAUCCUCACCACCAGAGUCAGCUCUCCAGCACCACCUCAGCUAGCUCACCCUAUGCAGUAAGCAGCAAGGGGGUCAGUUCUGCUCUCAAACCCUCGGGACUGACUCACCCACACCUACAGCACCAAGAUCAGCUCUACUGUGCUGGCCAGGUAAAGUACAGGGGCCACUCAGCUCGAGUCCUGCAGCUGGUGUGCUCCUCAGUGGAUACAAUAGCUAAUAAUUCAUAGGGGGUAGUUACCCAUUAACCCUCUCCAAUCUAUGAUUAAUUGUCUUGUGUAGAACCUUUGCAGGCAGCCAUUGAAAUUAAACAGGAGCUGGGCGUGGGCACACACACCUGUAAUUCCAAUGCUCAUGAGACUGAGACAGGAGGAAUGCCUGGAGUUUGAAGUCAGCUUGAGCUGCAUAAGUGAGUUCUGGGCUAGCCUAGGCUACAGUAUGAGACCCUACCUUAUGUAAAAUACAAGAGGGUUGGGAAUAUAGCUCAGUGGUAGAGCAUUUGCCUAGUAUUCAUCCAGCCCUAGGUUCUAAUUCCAGUAUUGCAGAGACAUACACACACACACACACACACACACACACACACACACACACACACACACACAGAGACAGAGAGACAGAGACAGAGACAGAGAGAGAUUGAGAUUAAACCUGGGACAUGUUAACCAUUUACACUGAUGAAGAAGGUAAGAUUAAUAUGAUAAUCUCAUAUGAAUCAGAACCCACAAGGGGAAACUAGGGGAACAGAGACUCAUAUGAAUAGCACACUAGGUAUGACAUGGUCGGUAGGAUUCAUUUCAAUAUAGAAAAAAAUGAUUUAAUUUAAUAACAGCACAUGAAACUAACACAAAAAAUUUAGAGACUUCUACAACUUUGUAUCUUUUAAGAACUGGUAGAACAGAAUUUCUCUUGAGAGUCAGAAGUUUUCCAUCUUUACAGGUAAAAGAAAAUAAAAAUGGGCAAAAUUUUAAGUAUUUUUACCAAAUAGAGUAAACAGGAAAGAAGUUCAUGUGCAAAACUUUUUCCUCUCUCUUUAGAGUAGCAUUUAAGACCUUUCACAACAAAUACUGUCUACUUUUACAAGCUUAUCUUCAGUGACUCUCUUUUCAGCUGGUGAUAUUGUCUUAACCUUAUUAUACCAGUUAAUGAUGAACAAACAGAAUAUGAGCUCCUAAUUAUAAAGAUAUUUCUAAGAAACUUUCUUGGAGACAACGUUGUUAAUUGUUAAAAUAAUAACUCCAAUAGAGUCUUAGACUUUUCUAUGUGUGGGCAAAGAAUAUUAUCAGUAGCCUUUUUUAAUUUGUAAGAACAGUUUUACAAAUAUUUAUACUUCCUGGGAACAAAGAUAUGAAUUAAAACAUUAUUUCUAAAGCAAGACAUUAUCAAGUUUGAGGACCAAUCAGAAACAUGAAAUUUUCUUGAAAGAUAAUUUUACAGGACUUGGAAACAAUUCCCCAACUGAAGCAUUUUUCUGAACAAUUCCUUAUCCAAAUUUACUUCCAAGGACAAAUUCUAAGAAAUAGAAAAUACAAUAAACAGAGACAGUUCUGAAUAUUUCCACAUAAACCAUGUUAUAUGGGAAAGCAAAGUUGUUACUCUUUUAAAUGUUAACUUUACGCUUUAGCAAGUAAUUCUUUCACAACCUAGUUUGCAUUGCAGAAUAAUAACUCUUCCUGUAUGGAUUCAAGAAAAAGGCAUAUCUCCUGUCUCUUUCUCAGACGUGUGUGUGUGUGUGUGUGUGUGUGUGUGUGUGUGUGUGUGUGUGUAUGUGUGUGUGUGUGUGUGUGUGUGUGUGUGUGUGUGUAAGAGAGAGAGAUUUGUGAAGACUUGCACAAAUAUAUAUAGAAAGAGAUUUGUGAAGACUUGUGCAAAUGUAUUCACAAAACCAGGAAAAAUGGAAUAAAUCAAAAUCCAAAUAUUACCAACAGAAAUGGAGUCAAGAAGAAUCAGAAUUGUACUCACUGCCCUUUAAAGCGUUUAGUAUUAGCGGCCCAUUAAAGCGUUUAGUAUUAGCGGCCCACUGUGUCCAUGCCUGGUGUUCUACCAUUCCACACCUGUUUCUGUCUGGCAAAGUUUUACUCCUUCCUAGAGCUGCAAUCAUUCCCUCUUUGAAGUUUUAACAAAUCCAAAAUGAAUGUUUGUGCCUUCCGCUAAGAAUGUAUAUAUUUCUUAUCUUUUAAAUUAUUUUUUCUGAAAUAUUUUUAUAACUUACAGGAAAUUGAAAACCGAGUCCAGCUCAUUCUCAUAGAUUCUCUGUCCAUCUUCCUACACUGAUAGCAGUUUACAUGGUCAUAGCAUAGUUACAAAAACAAGGAAAUGAUCCUUUGUGGAAAACAAUUGAAUCCAUCCUUUAUUGGCAUUUCAUCCACUAUUUUUCAUUUACAUCUUUUAUUUGUUCCAGGAUCCAACCCAAGAUGCAUUUAGUUGUCAUGUUACCUUAGUGUCUUGAAGUUUCCCAGUGCUUUCUUGUAUUUCAUGACAUCGAGCCUUUUGAAGUAAGAAAACAGGCAAUAAGGACCACCUGCACCAACUGGAAGAAGAGCAGCCUCCAUGUGAACAGCCCUCUCCAGCAACAUCAACAGAUCCUAUAGGAACAAAUGUCACCCCCAACAGCUGGGAAAACAGGCACAAGCAAAACCCACACCAGCUGGAAGAACAAACCCCAUAGGCACAAGUAAAGCCCACACCAGCCAGAAGAACUGGACGAUACCCUGGAUCUAGGCAUACAAACCCAUAUAAAUCCCAGCUGACCUGACAACCAGCCAGUCAGCAGAACCCUUGUCCAUUCAGGCCAAAAGACAAUUAAAGGAACAAAAGACCCAUCCAACACAAAAAAAAAAUCACAAGAAUCAACACCUGUACCUAUAAUUAUCACAAACCCAGAUGGGUAAAUGGCAGAGUAAGAAUAUAUUCAACAACAUAAAGAGCAAUAUGGUAUUACCAAAACUUAGUGGUUCUACAACAGCAAGACCUGAACAUCCCAACACAGAUGAAACAGAAGAAAACGACCUUAAAAAUAACUUUAUGAAGAUGACAGAUGCCCUUAAAGAAGAAAUGAAAAAAUUCCCUUAAAGAAAUUGAGAAAAAGACAAAAAAUGUAGGAAAUCAAUAAAUCCCAUAAAGAAAACCAAGAAAAAAAAUCAAACAAGUGAAGGAAGCAAUUCAAGACUUGAAAAUUGAAAUGGAGGCAAUAUAGAAAACACAAACAAAGGGAAUUCUGGGAUUGGAAAAUCUGGGUAAAUGAACAGAAACAGAUGCAAGCAUAACCAACAGACUACAAAAGAUGGAAGAGAGAAUCUCAAACAUUGAAGAUACAAUAGAGGAAAUAGAUUCACUGGUCAAAGAAAAUGUUAAAUCCAAAAAAUUCUUAACACAAACAUCCAGGAAAUCUGGGACACCAUGAAAAGACCAAACCUAAGAAUAAUAGGGAUAGAAAAAGGACAAUUCUAGCUCAAAGGCACAGAAAAUAUAUUCAACAAAGUUAUUGAAGAAAACUUUCCCAACCUAAAGAAGGAUAUGCCUAUGAAGGCACAAGAAGCUUACAGAACACUAAAUAGACUGGACAAAAAAAGUCCCCUCUUCACAUAAUAAUAAAAACACCAAACAUACAGAAUAAAGAAAGAAUAUUAAGAGCUGCAAAAAAAUAAAGCCAAGUUACAUAUAAAGGCAGACCUAUCAGAAUUACACUCGACUUCUCAAUUAAGACCCUGAAAGCCAGAAGGUCCUGGACAGACAUUCUAGCUUGAGCAAUAAGACAACAAAAGGAGAUCAAGGGGAUACAAAUUGGAAAGGAAGAAGUCAAACUUUCGCUAUUUGCAGAUGAUAUGAUAGUAUACAUAAGUGACUCCCAAAUCUACCAGGGAACUCCUACAGCUGAUAAACACCUUCAGUAUUGUGGCAGGAUGCAAGAUUAACUAAAAAAAUCAGUAGCUCUCCUAUGUACAAUUGAUAAACGUGCUGAGAAAGAAACCAGAGAAACAAUGUCCUUUAUAAUAGCCAUAGAUAAUAUAUCUUGGGGUAACUCUAACCAAACAAGUGAAAGACUUGUAUGACAAGAACUUCAAGUCUUUGAAGAAAGAAAUUGAGGAAGUUAUAAGAAAAUGGAAAGAUCUCCCAAGCUCUUGGAUCGGUGGGAUUAACAUAGUAAAAAUGGCAAUCUUACCAGAAGCAAUGUACAGAUUCAAUGCAAUCACCAUCAACAUCUCAACACAAUUCUUCACAGACCUCGAAAGAACAAUACUCAACUUCAUAUGGAAAAGCAAAAUACCCAG